rnacentral:rRNA from 1 species
AAAUAACCAAUGAAACUGAUCUUGCAGUCCAAAAGCUGCAAUAAAAACACCAGACGAGAAGACCCUGUGGAGCUUCAAACCAAAACCAAGUUAAUGACCCAUUGGUUUUUAGUUGGGGCAACUUCGGAGCAUAAAACAACCUCCGACAAAAAGUCAAGACUAACAAGUCUAAACAAACAACUUACUUGACCCAAUACUCUAAAUAUGAGUGUUUGAUCAAUGAACCAAGUUACCCCAGGGAUAACAGCGCUAUCCCCCUUUAGAGUCCCUAUCGACAGGGGGGCUUACGACCUCGAUGUUGGAUCAGGACACCCCAAUAAUGCAGCCGUUAUUAAAGGUUCGUUUGUUCAACGAUUAAAGUCCU